rnacentral:rRNA from 1 species
UACGGAGGAUCCAAGCGUUAUCCGGAUUUAUUGGGUUUAAAGGGUGCGUAGGCGGCUUAUUAAGUCAGGGGUGAAAGACGGUGGUCUCAACCAUCGCAGUGCCUUUGAUACUGAUGCUUGAAUAAACUUGAGGUAGGCGGAAUGUGACAAGUAGCGGUGAAAUGCAUAGAUAUGUCACAGAACACCAAUUGCGAAGGCAGCUUACUAAAGUUUAAUUGACGCUGAGGCACGAAAGCGUGGGGAUCAAACAGG